AGCCGCCGCGGUAAUACGUAGGUGGCAAGCGUUGUCCGGAUUUAUUGGGCGUAAAGCGAGCGCAGGCGGAAAGAUAAGUCUGAUGUGAAAGCCCCCGGCUUAACCGAGGAAUUGCAUCGGAAACUGUGUUUCUUGAGUGCAGAAGAGGAGAGUGGAACUCCAUGUGUAGCGGUGGAAUGCGUAGAUAUAUGGAAGAACACCAGUGGCGAAGGCGGCUCUCUGGUCUGUAACUGACGCUGAGGCUCGAAAGCAUGGGUAGCGAAC
rnacentral:rRNA from 1 species